AACGGCCAUACCAUGCUGAAUAUACCGGUUCUCGUUAGAUCACCGAAGUCAAGCAUCAUUGGGCGCGGUCCGUACUUGGGUGGGUGACCACCUGGGAACACCGCUUGCCGU
rnacentral:rRNA from 1 species